GCUUACGGCCAUACCACCCUGAACGCGCUCGAUCUCGUCCGAUCUCGGAAGCUAAGCAGGGUCGGGCCUGGUUAGUACUUGGAUGGGAGACCGCCUGGGAAACCAGGUGCUGUAAGCC
rnacentral:rRNA from 15 species